ensembl:lncRNA
UGGACACCCAGGAACUUGAAGCUGCUCACACGCUCCACAGCCGUCCCCUUAAUGUGGAUGGGUGGAUGUGGGUCAGCAUUCCUCCUGUAGUCCACGAUGAGCUCCUUGGUCUUCUCAGUGUUAAGCAGAGGCAUGGCAUGGUCGUUAGUGCUGAUCUGGGAUUUUCCCACACAGUCAAUGGAAUGGUCAGAAAAAGAGAAAAUAUCCAAUGACCAGUAAUUCUCAGGGUGAUAAUUCCUUGUUAAUGUCAAAGCUCAGAGGAACAACUGAGCCAAGGUAUUCAGAAAACCAUCUGUGAACAUAUAUAAUGUCAAAACUUGAAUCUGAUAGGUGACAACAGUAGAAGACCAUACCAGGUGUGUCAGGCUUCUGGGUGGCUGCUCUGGAUGUGUUACUCACCUUCUCUGCUAGGGUGGCGUCUGGACACCUGUGCCUUCCUGGAUCCUCACCCUCCUUCUACUCACCUGAUGCUGGUUCUGGCUGAUUGCCCCUGACGCCAUUUAAGGCCACAGUGGAGUGUUGGUCCUUGGUGGAUUGUUGUGCUAUUUUAAAGACCUACCUGGACCCCAGCCUGCCUUCCCUUGAAACCCUUUGGAUGAGCAAGAGUGUGAGUGAGGAACGGUAUGGACAUCUGGACUGAGUGUGUAUUUUUCACAAGCGGAUUGAAGAGGAAUGUGAGUGUGACUGUUCCCCAGCCCUGGACCUACCCCUGGAAUCCGUGGACCCCUUUUCUCCCUCUCACUGUACAUAUGUAAAUAUUCCACCACUUGAGUCCAGCCUAGUCACCAUGACAAGGUGCCACUUCUGUUAGCUAAGAACAGGAAACCGAGGCUACAGUUUGCAUGGGUUGACCAAAAUUGGACCCCAUAGAAGAUUGGACAAAUGUUGUCUGGUCUAAUGAGUCUAAAUUUCUGCUGUGACAUUGGGAUUAUGACCACAGUGUACCCAUCAGUUGAAUAUGAAUUCACUGUACUCAAAUGACCUCUACAGUCACCAGAUCUCAAACUAACAGAGCAACUUUUGGAUGUGGUGAUUUGCAUAAUGGAUGUGUAACCUACAAAUUUGCAGAAACUUCUCAUGUCAAUAAACCAAAGUCUCUGAGGAAUGUUUCCAGCACCUUGUUGAAUCUAUGAAUCCUGGUACUAGACAGGUGUAACAAAUAAAACAGAUGUCCUUAUGUCCUGUGAGUGAAUACAUACCUCUGGUAUAGUAGCAGCAUUUUUCAAAUUCAUGAUGAGACCUGUUGUCAAAGAACAUGUGAAUGAGACAGGUUGCUACACUGUUUUUCAUAAUGUUCUUUCUUUUUUACUAUAAACACGUCCACUCUCUUAUUUUCAGUCAGUCUGCACACAUGUUAGAUCCCCACCGCCACUUUGUGUUAGAAGCAAAGGUUUGCGUAUAAAUCAGUGGGCUGGGGUCUAGGUUUUACAGACAGGCUAGGAAGGUUGGAAGAUAAUGAGAGGUUAAAACAUUCUUUUAUAUGAUUUGUUGACAAAACGGAAAACAUGAAAAAAGAGGAGUUGGCUUUAUCGUCAUAGGGGUUGUAUGCCAGCAGCAUGACGAUGGAGUUCUAAACCUGUAACGUGUAGGGCAGACAUCGUGUUUCAGGUCACAUUUAUGAUAUUCACUACAGGACUUUAGAUGUGGUUGGGAGAAAUUUUCUCCCCAGGUCCAUUUCUUCUCUGUCAGUUUGGAUAAGCUUCGAAGCCGGGCUUUAGCAGUGAGGGCUCCCUGUUUUACACCAUCGUUUUUUCUUUUCUUCUCAUCAGAUAUCUCUUAACUCUUUUGCUGUCCUCCUUCAAGUCUUCUCCUGUCCUUCUCAGCUCUCUUUAGUCUUCUGUCAAAUUAAACUUUCAUGGAUCUUCCGGGAUUCUUA